rnacentral:rRNA from 1 species
GACGAACGCUGGCGGCGUGCCUAAUACAUGCCAGUAGAACGCUGAAGGAAGGAGCUUGCUCUUUCUGGAUGAGUUGCGAACGGGUGAGUAACGCGUAGGUAACCUGCCUGGUAGCGGGGGAUAACUAUUGGAAACGAUAGCUAAUACCGCAUAAAAUUGAUUAUUGCAUGAUAGUCAAUUAAAAGGUGCAACUGCACCACUACCAGAUGGACCUGCGUUGUAUUAGCUAGUUGGUGGGGUAACGGCUCACCAAGGCGACGAUACAUAGCCGACCUGAGAGGGUGAUCGGCCACACUGGGACUGAGACACGGCCCAGACUCCUACGGGAGGCAGCAGUAGGGAAUCUUCGGCAAUGGACGGAAGUCUGACCGAGCAACGCCGCGUGAGUGAAGAAGGUUUUCGGAUCGUAAAGCUCUGUUGUAGGAGAAGAACGAGUGUGAGAGUGGAAAGUUCACACUGUGACGGUAUCUUACCAGAAAGGGACGGCUAACUACGUG